rnacentral:rRNA from 1 species
UGGGGAAUAUUGCACAAUGGGCGCAAGCCUGAUGCAGCCAUGCCGCGUGUAUGAAGAAGGCCUUCGGGUUGUAAAGUACUUUCAGUCGGGAGGAAGGUGGUAAGGUUAAUAACCUUGGCAAUUGACGUUACCCGCAGAAGAAGCACCGGCUAACUCCGUGCCAGCAGCCGCGGUAAUACGGAGGGUGCAAGCGUUAAUCGGAAUUACUGGGCGUAAAGCGCACGCAGGCGGUCUGUCAAGUCGGAUGUGAAAUCCCCGGGCUCAACCUGGGAACUGCAUUCGAAACUGGCAGGCUAGAGUCUUGUAGAGGGGGGUAGAAUUCCAGGUGUAGCGGUGAAAUGCGUAGAGAUCUGGAGGAAUACCGGUGGCGAAGGCGGCCCCCUGGACAAAGACUGACGCUCAGGUGCGAAAGCGUGGGGAGCAAACAGG